rnacentral:lncRNA from 1 species
GGUAUUUUAAAUUUAUUUGAGCCCAAUUAUUAAGGGAAAUUCAGAAAUAAGCCCAUCGAAAAAUCAAAUCAUAUUAAAUUGGUUGACAUUCAUCAUGGUCAAACGUUGUAGGAGCCAAAUACACAAAAUUAUUGGAGGCAUCAAAACCAAAACACCAAAAAAUAUUCCGUUUUAAAUAAAAUUAAACAAAUUUUGAAACAAAACAUUGCGUUUUUCUGGCAUGAUGAAUUAAGAUUUUACUAUUUCUUACUUGUAUCGUUCUGGUACUCGCUUUUUACGGGCUAACGGUGGCAUGUAUAGCGUCAUUGUUAUUGAAAUUACGGGUAUCCGAUAUUUUCUAAAGGGAAACCAUUUAAUUAGCCGCCAUAUUUGUUGAUAAACGUUACCACAGCGAUACCAUUCGGACUACCUUUAU